rnacentral:sRNA from 1 species
GCGCCGGGGCCCGAGGCCGCUGAGUGCCUGGUGUGCUCCGAGCUGGCGCUGCUGGUGCUGUUCUCGCCAUGCCAGCACCGCACCGUGUGUGAGGGUGAGUGGGGGGCCCCGGGGUGGGGGGCCCGGGUAGUAGGGCCCCAGCCAACCGCGCUCUCCUCUUCGCAGAGUGCGCGCGCAGAAUGAAGAAGUGCAUCAGGUGCCAGGUGGUCGUCAGCAAGAAAUUGCGCCCAGACGGCUCUGAGGUGGCGAGCGCCGCCCCCGCCCCCGGCCCGCCGCGCCAGCUGGUGGAGGAGCUGCAGAGCCGCUACCGGCAGAUGGAGGAACGCAUCACCUGCCCCAUCUGCAUCGACAGCCACAUCCGCCUCGUGUUCCAGUGCGGCCACGGCGCAUGCGCCCCCUGCGGCUCCGCGCUCAGCGCCUGCCCCAUCUGCCGCCAGCCCAUCCGCGACCGCAUCCAGAUCUUCGUGUGAGCCGCGCCGUCCGCCGCGCCCGAGCUGCCUUCGCGUGCCCCCGCCCUGUGUUUUAUAAAAAGAUUCUCGGA